GGCGACGCCAGCUGGGGGGGCGCGGGCGGGCGACCCCGCGGGGGAGGAUGUGGCCGCGGGGGCUCCCUGCCGAGAGGCCACAUGCCUCCCGCCGUGCUGUGGGCCCCCAGGCCCCCCCCCGCCCCGACCCCCUGUUCCACGGGGCCUCCCCCAGCCCGGGCGCCCCGCCCUGCCCGCCUGGACCCCUGAGUCCCGGCGUCGCCAGCCCCGCCCGGGCAGAGCCUACUCCAGGCCUGAGGCCCCGGAAGGACCCGUCCCGCCCCGCUGCCCUCCGCGGCUGGACCCCGAGGUCUGACCAGUCAUCCCCAGUGCCCUGCGGGGCCUCAGGCUCUCCUCGGGCCACGGUCUGGGGAGGCCUCCUGGGGCCCAGCGCCUCCGUGCUCCCCUGGGAGGCAGGACCCUCUGACCCAGGGAGACCCAGGGAUGCUGGGGCGCGGUGGGAAGGCUGCUCGGUGGGGGGGUCCGCUCUGGUGCUUCCGGCUGGGUGUGCCUUUUGAGGUUCCAGACCUCGGUUGGGACAGGGCGAACCUCAUCCAUCCCCCAGCCGCGUCGCUACGUGUGGCCCAGAGGCCCAAACCGGCCCCCAUCUACCGCUCAGCGUCCUAGGGGUCGCGGCUGAGGAGGGGCCCGCCCGCAUGUCCCGGCUAAAAGCCAGCGACGCCCUGAGGAGCACACGGCCGAUGAAAGAAGUGCUCUGAGCCUGCCCGUGCCGGGCCUCGGGCCUAGAGACCGACCCUCCAGCGCUCACGGGCAGCUGGACGCCAGGGACUCCCAUGCCCCGGCACCUGGGUCUGCACCAUCGGGUGCAGCCCUGUGAGGCUCAGAGGGGCUGCUCAAGAGCUUGUGGGGUGGACAGGGAGACCAGAGCUCCCCCACACCCUUGCUCAGGUAGCUCAGGUCAGCUCUGGCCCUGGUGCAUGGAGGGCUCAACAGAAGACCCCUGGGCCUGACCCCAGACCUGCCCACCUGGACUUCUGGGUAGCACUGGGUGCCAGAGAGGCCUGGCGGAGGCUCGCUGACGGGGCCGUGUCCUCCGUGGGCCGACACCUGCAGCCUGCUGAGGCCCCCUUGGAAGUGCCACCCCGGCCGCCCAGAUGGUUGCCUCUGUCAGAGAACACAAGAGGGCAAGGGCCUCGGUUCAGGUGACUAUUUCAGGGACGCCUCCCCCAGAACCCACAGACAGGGAAUCUGGGUGUCUACCUGUCCCUCCAUCCAUCUGUCCAGGCAUCUGCAGUGCUACAGACCCAUCACCACUCUGGAAAUUUUUGUUUAAUGGUGAGUAAACGAAUGACCCCUCCUCUCUGUGCGGCCACUGCUCUGCUGCCCAAUACCCGAUGUGGGCCUGGUUGGGGGUUGGCUCUCCGGAAAGAACUCCGUAAUGAGCAAAUGAAUGAACGAACCAGUGAGUGAGAGAACCAGGGAGUGAGUGGGGGCCUGAGUGGGCGCCGGAGGGUGAAGGAAUGAGGUGGCGGCGGAGUGCUGGGCCGGCGGACGGGCUGCCCGGCCCCCGUGGGCUCACUGCUGACUGUGCACUCAGCCCCAGCCCUACCGGCGCUGCCCAGCCAACGGGAGGAUGGCCUCAAAGGCUGCUCACCGGGCUUCUUGAAGCCGCAGCAGCGCCGAGGCGUCGGGGUGGCUGAGGCUGCCUCCUGCCCGGGGAGGACACAAAGCCACAGCUGUUCCCAGCUUUGGCAGGCCCCAAGCUGGGUGGCCACGCGGCUGAGGUGGGGCCCAGGCUGGGAUCUGAGGUGUGCAGAGUAGUCCUCAAGGACCCCCGGCCCCCGCCCGUGGGAUGAGCCCCCUCGUCGCCCAUGGGGCUCCCAGACGGGGAGUCGGCCUCACUCAGGUCUGAGCUGGCGGUCAGCAAGGGGUGAGGUGGCUGGAGGGGCCCCUGCAGGGGGGCUGCAGAAGCCCAGGCGGGGGGUGGUCCCGGGGAGCAAACUUGGGAGUUCUGGACGUUUUGCUUGAAAAUCACUUUCCCCAAAACCAGCCUCCAGUAUUUGUGCCACAGCCCCCAGGCGCCCAGAUCAGAACCCCUGAAGCGGCAGCUCCCCACGGGGGCUGGUAAGCGGGUGGGGACCAUCUGGCUGGGGGGUGCACGGCCCACAGCCCACGGGCUCCCAGGCCCCGAGGGCCCCAGAGUUUUCUCCACGAACGAGGGUCCUGCCCCAGUGUAGCCCUCUGGCAACUCCUCCCUGAUGCCUUCAUCCCUGGGGGGCCGACCUUGGCCAUCUGUCCACCUGUGGCCAUGCUGGGGCAUGGCUGGGAACGGCCCAGCUCCCCCCGGUCAGGGCCAGCCACCCCGGUGAGACGGCUGCCUGCUCACCUGCUGCUCUGGGGCAGCUCAGCUUGGCUCCUGUGUUCCUGGGAGAGACUGGGGCUCAUGGGGCGGCAGGACCUCUGACCCGUAGAGCCCAGAGCUCCGGGGACAGGAUCUCCACGCAGUUGCGUGAGUGACCAUUGCGGCUCCCGUCCGUCGGUCCCCGGGCACCAUGACACCCCGGUCCCUGUGCGAGUGGCUGGGUUGACCCUCCCACGGGAAAGACAGCGUGAUUGAGGGUUCCGGGUCCCCGGCCCCGCUGUAUGAAGGCAGGAGACCUCGCAUGCGUGGCUCCAUGGCCGGACUGGAAAGCACCUGUGGUCUGUCCUGUGGGGCGCCGUUUCCAGUCCCCUUGGCCGGGUAGGAGAGUGCAUUCUUGGAACCAGCGGCCACGGCCCCUCCCCGGAGCUGCUCUGGCCCCCCCACUACCGUGGCCUUCGGGCAGCCCUGCGGGGGGCCCACGGCCGUCCUGCCUCUCGGGGGCCAACCUGGUGAGUUAACGGGUGUGGCGGGGGCCGUGGCCUGCUCCCUCGGGGCGGCUGGGGUGGGCUCGCUCGGGCCACGCCAGCGCGCGGGGAGGGGUACUCUGCUUAUUUGUGAUCUUGGCUGGGUGGGGAGCUCCUGAAGCUUCCCCGUGACUGUACGUGGCGGUUCGGCUCCGGCUCGUGGGCUGCGCUCUCCAGCCCCAGCCGUUCACCUGGGGACCGUAGCGUGUGGACUUUGGACGUGGCCUCACGUGCCCCGGCUCUCUUGGGGCCACGGUACUGCUCCAGAUUGGCAGGUGUCCAGGCGGACACAGGCCACAACUCCUGUCCCCAGGGCAUCCCCACGAGACAGCGGGCACCAGGUUGUGCUCCCCGGGAUUUCCUCAGUGGGUGGGUCAGGCUCUCUACCUGACGGACCUGCCGCUCAGUCAUGGGCGCGGAGCUGCCGGAAGGCCGCUGGGAGGACGGAAUGGCGGUGCCGCGGGACCUCGGGGAUCCCUGGCCUUCUGGCUGCUCUGCCAGGGGCGGGGCUGGUCAGUGAGGAGGGGCCCCGUGGUCACCCAGGUGAGGCAGGACAGAAACAGGGACCAGGCUGGGUGUGAGCCCCGGGAGGAUGCUGGAUCCCACGAGUGCCGGGCAGCUGACCUGUAGGGCUCCAUGGGAAGGUGCAGCCCGUGUCGCAGAGCAGCCCCGGCGGGGACAAUGGAAUCCGCCGCCCGCAGAGUCGGUGAUCACGAGCCAGGGCCCCCGCGGCUCAGGAUCCGUUGCUGCGCGGCCAGAGCCCACCCACGUGGCGCUGGGGAAGGAAGCCCGGGGCGUCCGGGAGGGCAGGGGCGGCAGCCGGGCCCCCCCCAGGAGCUGGCUGGUAAAGUCUGUGGCUGGGGGUGAGGGGAUCCCCCGGGGCUUGUAAAGUCGAGAAACGGUGUUCCCACCGUGUCUGCCGGACAUGCCGGUGCGGACGACUGAUGACGGGUGCUCCCUGAGCAGGUGGGGCCAGCAGGGGAGUGUAUGGCGGCAGAGCAAGUGAGCAGGGACACCGUCAGGAGGGAGCGGCCACACGGGGGCUGAGGAGGGA